CACUCAGUGACUUUUUGAAGCAACACACACAGAAGAUUCAGCAACAAAUAAACCCUCUCGGCGAUGCUUUCACAACCUGGCUUCAUGAUAUGGGACUUAAAGGAUGGCUUUUAUCUUUAGUUAAAACUCUUUGUUAUGCUGGGAUUGUUAUUGUGAUUUUGCUUUUGUUAUUGCCUUGUCUUUUUCAAUGUAUCCAGGGAAUGCUUAAUAGAACUGUUUCUAAGGUUUUUUUAGUGCAACAGAA